rfam:Ciona savignyi cont_7287, whole genome shotgun sequence.
GGGGGUGUAGCUCAUAUGGUAGAGCGCGCGCUUAGCAUGCGCGAGGUACCGGGAUCGAUACCCGGCACCUCCA